rnacentral:rRNA from 1 species
GGGCUGAGUAGAGCGGCGGACGGGUGAGUAACGCGUAGGAAUCUACCUGGUAGUGGGGGACAACUUGGGGAAACUCAAGCUAAUACCGCAUACGCCCCAAGGGGGAAAGCGGGGGACCUUCGGGCCUCGCGCUAUCAGAUGAGCCUGCGUAGGAUUAGCUUGUUGGUGAGGUAAAGGCUCACCAAGGCGACGAUCCUUAGCUGGUCUGAGAGGAUGAUCAGCCACACUGGGACUGAGACACGGCCCAGACUCCUACGGGAGGCAGCAGUGGGGAAUACUGCGCAAUGGGGGCAACCCUGACGCAGCCAUGCCGCGUGUGUGAAGAAGGCCUUCGGGUUGUAAAGCACUUUAAGUGGGGAGAAAAGGGUAGCUGUUAAUAGCGGUUACCUGUGAUGUUACCCACAGAAUAAGCACCGGCUAACUCCGUGCCAGCAGCCGUGGUAAUACGGAGGGUGCGAGCGUUAAUCGGAAUUACUGGGCGUAAAGCGCGCGUAGGCGGUUUGUUAAGUCAGCUGUGAAAGCCCCGGGCUCAACCUGGGAACUGCAGUUGAUACUGGCCGACUAGAGUACGAGAGAGGGAGGUAGAAUUCCAUGUGUAGCGGUGAAAUGCGUAGAUAUAUGGAGGAAUACCGGUGGCGAAGGCGGCCUCCUGGCUCGAUACUGACGCUGAGGUGCGAAAGCGUGGGGAUCAAACAGGAUUAGAUACCCUGGUAGUCCACGCCGUAAACGAUGUCUACUAGCCGUUGGGAGACUUGAUUUCUUAGUGGCGCAGCUAACGCAAUAAGUAGACCGCCUGGGGAGUACGGCCGCAAGGUUAGAACUCAAAUGAAUUGACGGGGGCCCGCACAAGCGGUGGAGCAUGUGGUUUAAUUCGAUGCAACGCGAAGAACCUUACCAGGUCUUGACAUCCAGAGAACUUGGCAGAGAUGCCUUGGUGCCUUCGGGAGCUCUGAGACAGGUGCUGCAUGGCUGUCGUCAGCUCGUGUCGUGAGAUGUUGGGUUAAGUCCCGUAACGAGCGCAACCCUUGUCCUUAGUUGCCAGCGAGUAAUGUCGGGAACUCUAAGGAGACUGCCGGUGACAAACCGGAGGAAGGUGGGGACGAUGUCAAGUCAUCAUGGCCCUUACGACCUGGGCUACACACGUGCUACAAUGGAACGCACAGAGGGCUGCAAAGGCGCGAGCUGGAGCCAAUCCCACAAAACGUUUCGUAGUCCGGAUCGGAGUCUGCAACUCGACUCCGUGAAGUCGGAAUCGCUAGUAAUCGUGGAUCAGAAUGCCACGGUGAAUACGUUCCCGGGCUUUGUAC